rnacentral:rRNA from 1 species
GACAAACGCUGGCGGCAUGCCUAACACAUGCAAGUCGAACGGACAGAACAGGGAAGCUUUUCGGAGUGGAACUGGAAAGUUAGUGGCGGAUGGGUGAGUAACGCGUGGACAACCUACCUUGUAAAGGGGAAUAACCUCGAGAAAUCGAAGCUAAUACCCCAUAAUAACCUUGCUUCGCAUGAAGUAAGGAGGAAAGGCGGCCUUAGCGCUGUCGAUACAAGAUGGGUCCGCGUCUGAUUAGCUAGUUGGUGAGGUAAAGGCUCACCAAGGCGACGUUCAGUAGCCGGCCUGAGAGGGUGAACGGCCACAUUGGGACUGAGACACGGCCCAAACUCCUACGGGAGGCAGCAGUGGGGAAUCUUCCGCAAUGGGCGAAAGCCUGACGGAGCAAUGCCGCGUGAGUGAAGAAGGCCUUCGGGUUGUAAAACUCUGUCCUUAUCGAAGAGAGAGUGUUGUAGUAACUGACAAUACUAGGACGGUAGAUGAGGAGGAAGCCCCGGCUAACUAUGUG